AGGCAUAAGGGAGCUUGACUGCGAGACCUACAAGUCGAGCAGGGUCGAAAGACGGACUUAGUGAUCCGGUGGUUCCGCAUGGAAGGGCCAUCGCUCAACGGAUAAAAGCUACCCCGGGGAUAACAGGCUUAUCUCCCCCAAGAGUUCACAUCGACGGGGAGGUUUGGCACCUCGAUGUCGGCUCAUCGCAUCCUGGGGCUGUAGUCGGUCCCAAGGGUUGGGCUGUUCGCCCAUUAAAGCGGUACGCGAGCUGGGUUCAGAACGUCGUGAGACAGUUCGGUCCCUAUCCGUCGUGGGCGUAGGAAAUUUGAGAGGAGCUGUCCUUAGUACGAGAGGACCGGGAUGGACAUACCUCUGGUGUACCAGUUGUCGUGCCAACGGCAUAGCUGGGUAGCUAUGUGUGGACGGGAUAAGUGCUGAAAGC
rnacentral:rRNA from 1 species